rnacentral:lncRNA from 1 species
GGGGGGGAAGGGGGUUCUCGUAUCUUGUUCUUUCAGGAUUGGAAGACGGAUUUUCGUGAUCUAUCAAACAAGGAGGUGGAUUUUUAGGGUCUUCUAAACAUGUAGGUGAUCUUGUAUUGAUUAUCAAGCCUGAUGGCCUUUUUGUAAGGUCUCUCAAGACUACAAUUAUUCUUGUAGGUCUUCUCAAACGUGAAGUUGGUCUAUUAAAUGUUUUCAAAGCUGGGCGUGGUCUUGAAAUAGUUUAGUAGGUUUUGUUUGGGCCCGGAGGUCUCUUUAAGUAGACGAACUUAAAUUUUCAGAUCUUUUUGCGAGCCUUUUAUGCCUGGAGGUCUUCUUUUAAGUCCUUUCAAUCCUGGAGGUUUUCUUGCAGGGCCUCUCAACUCUGAAGGUUUUAUUGAAGGGUCUGUCACAUCUGGUAAUCAUGUUGGCCUUUCAAGUCGUAAUAAGUUUUCAGAUCGUAAUAAGGAAUCCUUCACCAAUGAGCAGAUCGUUCAUCUAAUAGAAAUGCUCAAAGCUGGAGUUUGUCCUGCAGACCUUCAGAGAACAGGUGUUCGUCAAGGAGAAGCUCUCAAACUUUUUGGUCUAAAAAUCGUUUUGCAGCUCCUCUAAAACAUGAAAUAACGUUGUCGGUUUUCUCAAUCACGGAAGUCGCUUUGUUGACCAGACCACACACUAGAAAUUGAAGGGACGACGACGUUUCGAUCCGUCCUGGACCAUUCUCAAGUCGAUUGUGAUGAGGACAGGUAGGGACAGGCAUUAAGACUCUACAAAGACUCUACAAAGACCCUACAAAGACUCGCUUUGUAGGGCCUCUUUUUUUAUCUUUGUAGGCAGUUAUGUGGGUUCUGUAAAUCUUGGAAAUCAUCUAUUAUAUUAAGCCUCAAGUUUAUAGGUAGUUUUGUGAACCUUAUAAAGGCCGCAGUGCAUCUGUGGGAUGUCUUGUACACUCCAUCGAGAAAGGUACUUUUGAAAGUGUGGGGGUGUGGGUGUGUGUAUGCAAGGCUGUGACAGUUUGUUUCUCUCUAACAGCCUAUUCGAGUAAUCACUGCUUAGAAGCUCUCCAUGGAGGCCACACUGGGAGCUCUGAGAGGCAGGGGUCAGCAAGCUUGAGACUCUCACAAACAACUAGGGGGGCCAUUUAAGGCUUUUAUCAUGAAAGCAAGUUCUCUAGGCCUCCGAAAACAAGAAUAUCAACUUUAACACUUUCAUGAGUCAAUUAGGUCAGCACGAAAACUCCACGAAUCUAGAAGGUCGACCAGUGAAGUUCCCACGAAUCAAGAAGGUCGACCUGUGAAGUUCCCACGAAUCAAGAAGGUCGAUCUGUAAAGUUCCCACGAAUCAAGAAGGUCGACCUGUGAAGUUCCCACGAAUCAAGAAGGUCGACCUGUGAAGUUCCCACGAAUCAAGACGGUCGACCUGUGAAGUUCCCACGAAUCAAGAAGGUCGACCUGUGAAGUUCCCACAAAUCCACAAGACCAUUGGACACCCGCCAUUACAAACAGAAGAGGGACAAGCGCAUGUCACGCCUUCAGCAGGAGUUGAACCUUUUGCUCCUGGUGUGUGUGUGUGUGUGUCAAGAUACUGUUCAAAGUUCAAGUUUUUUGUCUUGAUCUGGAAGUGUCACAUUACCGUUUAAAGCUGGACCUUUAACUUAAUUAAGUCUGACACUAAGUCAAGUUUACCGAUCGGAGUUUACAAAGUGACGGUUUAUCUCUUGGCAAAGCACUUAGCUGCAGAUCUGACACAGACUACAAGCUACUACUGCAGGUUGAACAGCAGUAUAUGUGUCGUGACUGAUCCGUGAGGCGAUAUUAUCAGUGACUGAUUUGUGAAACGAUAUUAUCAGUGACUGAUCCGCGAGGCAAUAUUACAGUGACUGAUCAAUGGAUUGUUGUGUGUAUGUGUGUGUGUGGGUGCAUUGACUGCCCCGUCUAGUGACAUAUGCAGUGGCGGAAGCAAUAACGAUCAUUGUGCAAUGAAGAUUGUACAGUGAACAUUGCGCAGUGUACAGCAACAUAGAAGUGACUGUAAAUUUUCCUUAAAGAGAAAAACAAAAUAUAUAAAUAUAUAUAUAAAACGGGUUUUUAAUCUUUGUACACUCAGCUGUUAAAAGGAUAUUACUAAUACUGAAGAUGAUGAUGAUGAUAAUAAUAAUAAUAAUUGUAAUAAUAAUAAUAAUAAUAAUAAUAAUGAUAAUAA